rnacentral:piRNA from 1 species
UGCCUGAUAGACGGUGCAAUAGGACGGC